UUUUUUUUUAAGGAUACUAUUCUCAAAAAUCUUUGUUCUCUGAAUCCUUUGGAACAGUGUUUUUACCUCAGUGUAAUAGUGUGCCAUUCUUCAUGAUCUGAUACAAAGGAUAAAAUUAAAGACUGUGUUACUGUGCGUGAUCUUAUUCACCUUUAUGCCUUCUCUGCUUGAAUUUGAUUUUCAAUUUCAAAUUCAACUAGAUUUGUGGAGUGCCUUCUUCAUGACAACCAUCAAUCCUCUGAGAACUUUUGUACUCUUUGUAGGCCAUAGUAUCUGGAAUAGGAAACCUGAAUUUGAUUUCUGGUUUUGCCAUUGAAUAGUAGAAUGGGUUUGAGUCAGCCAUUUCAGUUAGCUUCAUAGUGUUAAUGUUUGCCUCAACAAGUUUAGACAAAAUGAUGCUUUUUGUUUAGUAUAUACUUUUAAGAAUACCAAGUGUCAAGGAAGAGAAUGGAAAGUAGAGAUCCUACCCUAGACCAUAGAAGUGAUUGUUCAGAACUACCAGCCAGAUUUCUUGAAUCCCAUCUUCUACAUUUUACCUUUAUAUCAUACAUGUUCACAUUAACCCAGGGAUUUGUGCAUACUAAGCACAUACAACUACCACUAAGCUACACAUCAGCCCCAUGGAGGUUAUUUAUACCAGUACAUAUAAUCACUGUUUAGUAUCAGCCUGAUAUUCCAUUAUAUAAAUGUGCUAUGAUGUUAGUCAGUUUUCUAUGGGUGGCAUUAGGUUGCUGCUUGUCUUUGUUAUAGAAAACAGUUUCAGAGUAUCCUUGUACCCUCUUUGCCACAUGUAUACACUUUCUGGAACAAAGGACAGAUGCAUUUUAAAAUUUGUUAGAUAAUGCCUGCUUGACACCCAAAGAGGCAGUAUCAAUUUUAUCCUAUAGCUGAGAAUUUAAGAAGAGUGACUAUGACCCUACACCGAAGACGUUUAGUGGCUUUCAGGGGUCCUAGCCUUCCUCUUCAAAUACCUAAUUGUCUGCCUGUUCUGUUCUGUAGAGAAAUGGUCAAUGCAUGGUUUUCUGAAAGAGUUCACACCAUCCCUGUGUGCAAGGAAGGCACCCGAAGCCACGCUGAGUCUUGCUCCUGCCCCUCACAGCAGAGUCCUCGGGCAGACACCAGUGCCCCUGCAACACCAACCAGGAAAAUUUCUGCCUCAGAAUUCGACCGCCCUCUCAGACCCAUCAUUGUCAAAGAUUCUGAGGGAACUGUGAGCUUCCUUUCUGACUCAGAGAAGAAGGAACAGAUGCCUCUAACCCCCCCGAGGCUCGAUAAUGAUGAAGGGGACCAGUGCUCAAGACUCUUGGAAUUAGUGAAAGAUAUUUCUAGUCAUUUGGAUGUCACAGCCUUAUGCCACAAAAUUUUCUUACAUAUCCAUGGACUCAUUGCCGCUGACCGUUAUUCCCUAUUCCUUGUCUGUGAGGACAGCUCCAAUGACAAGUUUCUUAUCAGCCGCCUCUUUGAUGUUGCUGAAGGUUCAACACUGGAAGAAGCUUCAAAUAACUGUAUCCGUUUGGAGUGGAACAAAGGCAUUGUGGGACAUGUGGCAGCAUUUGGUGAGCCCUUGAACAUCAAAGAUGCAUAUGAGAUUAUCGUAAGUGCCAAGGAAACUGUGGUCCAGUUCAGAGAAGCAGAAUAUGCCGCCCAGUCCAGGAGCUUGAGAAAGGUAUCUUCCAGGACACAAGGCAUGACACAGAUCCUGGGAAGCAUACGGGGUUUGAAUGUUAGAGCUGGAAGUUUGAAGAAGAGACAGGGAAGAUGGACCAUGCAAAUGUAAGUGUAAGAGUCAGAACAGACCGGAAGGAGCUAUGGGUGCAUGGCCAGGAAUGUACUGGGGCCUCAGAUGGCAGGCUGAGCCAGCCGUGACUCAGCCAAGAGGAAUAAUUGAAGAUGUUUUGAAAGGGGGACCAGUAUAAUUAAAACUGUGCCUUAGAAGGAUGAGUUUUCAUCUUUCUGAUCAUAAAAUGAAUUAGAAAGAAAAAUACUAGAAGCUGGGAGGAUAGAAGAUUCUUUUAACAAUCUAAGUAUGAAGAACUGAGAACCCAAACUGCACUGUGGCCUGAGAGAUAAAAGAAUGGGUUUCAGUUGAAUUGGAAUCUGCUGAAGUUGGGAGCUAAUAGGAGGUAGAAGAAAGGGGAAAAGAGAAAUCAAAGAUGACUCAGGUGUUAAAAUGGAUGACUGAAUAGUGAUGGUGGUACAGAAUACUGAGGGACUGGGAUUCAAGAUAUGAUCAUUCAGGUAGGCUAAAUCCUGAGCUACUUUUUCAGAAUCUGUUCAAGAUUGGCAAUUUUUUCAGUUCUGAUUUUCUGUGAAAAAUGUAUCAGUCUUCAUGGAGCUGUCUCCGUGACCUCUUUGAGCUCUGUAGUAACGUCACACCAUAGCUGACUCCAAGAGGGGUAUUAAGGACACAGCUGAAGGAUUGCUGCCAAAUUUGCAGAAUUCCCUUCCUGUCUUAGGUGACAGCUGGGUUUCCACUUUUCAAUGGCACUACAGUCCCAAGUACAGUAGGACCAUAAAUAUUCUUCAGCUUUGCUGAGAAAGCGUUCAUUUGUUUGCGUGGUCCUGCCUGUCUCCAGGCCUGACAGUUAUGCAAUGUCACAGAUAUUAUUUAAUCUACUUAGCAUUUUUAAAGUUUUGACAAUGUAUUUUUUGUUUUGCAGUUAAUAAUGUUUAAUUCUUGUACCAGCACCUAAACAACCAAGGUCCUUGAUUUGCACUGCUACCAGAGUGAAGCCUUAGCCUUUGAAUUCCUCACAUUGCCACUUUACCCAUGGUCCCCUGACCUGUAUUUAUAGUGGUCUUACAAAUAAAUUCAUUCAUCUCUAAGAAUUUCGUUAUAAGUUCUGGGAGUUGAUCUGCAAUCUGACUUACAUUAUGAUGUCAUUUGCAUUGUAUUAGCAGAAGAAGUCUGUUGUCUAAUGGAUAAUUUAGUCUCACUCACAAUUUUAAUCAUCAAAAUACUGUCUCGUCAUGUUUUACGAAAGUAGUCAUUUUGUGAAAAUACCUUCUAAUGUCUUCUGGGCCCUAUUUAAACUUUCAUCUGUAGAAAUGCUACACCAUUUAUUUCUUAAAAUUAUUUGACCACAGAAUGUUUUAAAGGUAGUAGAGGAAAACCAAGAGUUGGGUAUGAAAUAUUAUAAUGCUCAGAUUGAAGCAGAAAAUUGAAA
rnacentral:lncRNA from 1 species